AACGAACGCUGGCGGCAGGCUUAACACAUGCAAGUCGAACGGGUGUAGCAAUACAUCAGUGGCAGACGGGUGAGUAACACGUGGGAACCUUCCUAGGGGUACGGAACAACUCAGGGAAACUUGAGCUAAUACCGUAUACGUCCGUGAGGAGAAAGAUUUAUCGCCCUUAGACGGGCCCGCGUCGGAUUAGGUAGUUGGUGGGGUAACGGCCUACCAAGCCUACGAUCCGUAGCUGAUCUUAGAGGAUGAUCAGCCACACUGGGACUGAGACACGGCCCAGACUCCUACGGGAGGCAGCAGUGGGGAAGCUUGGACAAUGGGCGCAAGCCUGAUCCAGCCAUGCCGCGUGAGUGAAGAAGGCCUUAGGGUUGUAAAGCUCUUUUACCAGGGACGAUAAUGACGGUACCUGGAGAAUAAGCCCCGGCAAACUUCGUGCCAGCAGCCGCCGUAACAC
rnacentral:rRNA from 1 species